AUUGAACGCUGGCGGCAUGCCUUACACAUGCAAGUCGAACGGUAACGGGCCUUCGGGUGCCGACGAGUGGCGAACGGGUGAGUAAUACAUCGGAACGUGCCCGAUCGUGGGGGAUAACGAGGCGAAAGCUUUGCUAAUACCACAUACGAUCUACGGAUGAAAGCAGUGGACCGCAAGGCCUUGCGCGGACGGAGCGGCCGAUGGCAGAUUAGGUAGUUGGUGGGAUAAAAGCUUACCAAGCCGACGAUCUGUAGCUGGUCUGAGAGGAUGAUCAGCCACACUGGGACUGAGACACGGCCCAGACUCCUACGGGAGGCAGCAGUGGGGAAUUUUGGACAAUGGGCGCAAGCCUGAUCCAGCCAUGCCGCGUGCAGGAUGAAGGCCUUCGGGUUGUAAACUGCUUUUGUACGGAACGAAAAGCCUUCUUUUAAUACAGGAGGGUCAUGACGGUACCGUAAGAAUAAGCACCGGCUAACUACGUG
rnacentral:rRNA from 1 species